rnacentral:lncRNA from 1 species
AACCGAAGAAUAAUCUGCAAAUUAUAGCCCAAGAAUAGAUGAGAAAAUAAAAAAUUAUAUCUGCAUAUAUCAGAAACAUUUCUUUUUUAUUUAUACACAUGCUCGCAAUUUAAAAAUUUUCGCAAAAAACGAAGUAAUAAAAAUUUCUAAACUAAGAAUAAAAUAUUAUGAGGAAAAUGUUUCUCAAACUUCUUCUGUGUGGCAAGUGGAGGCGGCGACAGCAGGCUUUGCAAGGUACGAAGGGAUGGUUUCUCCGGCCAUGAUAACGACAAUCCUCGGCUCCAUUUCUGGCUGUAAAACCCGAUCAACGGCCUUCGCCGGCUUUUCUUCUGCAUCGUUUGAUGAUUCGCCGUCGGAGGAGGACUUUCUGUACGAGCAGGCAAGAAUUAUCAAUGCAAAAGCUACGAGUCCCAACAUUAGUGCGAACCCACCAAAAAGAUACGGAGUCGGAGAAUUCCACCGCUGCAAGCCAUCACCAUCUACGGCGGCGGUGGCGUUGUAUGCUGUCCUCAUUCCUCUUAUGGAUUCUCUCUCUCUCUCUCUCUCUCUCUCUCUCUCUGUGUAUGUGUGUAGGGGUGCGAUCUAUAUUGAAUGGAUUGGGACAAGGAGUGUGAUUUGUUGUGUUACAGAAGUAUUCCACCAGGCGAUUCUUUCUCUUGUGCAUUUUUUUUUGUUUCCUUUCCUAAAUUCUCAAAGGAUUGAUUGCUCCCCAAGUUUCUUCACUCAUUUAUAUUUCCAUGUUUACCCUUCAAUAGCUUUAAAAUCACGUUAACUUUUUCAAUUAUUCUUCUUAAUUUAACUUUAUUCGACCAAUUAGCACCCCUUUGAUAAACUUUUAAAAUUUUAUAAAUGGGAUUUGUUAGAAAUCCGGGCCUUAUAAAUGAUUAAAUUUCAUUUUUAAGCACACAGCUUAAUUAAUUUUAUGAUAAGAAGAGGGCAAUUUGAUAAUUUACUGUUGUGGAUUGAAGCAAGCAGGAUGAGUGUGAAGAUGUCCAAAGAAAAUUAACAUGAAUUUUCUUGGUAAUGCUCUUUUCCACAUACCGG